AUUGAACGCUGGCGGAAUGCUUUACACAUGCAAGUCGAGCGGCAGCGCGGGGGCAACCCUGGCGGCGAGCGGCGAACGGGUGAGUAACGCAUCGGAACGUACCUUGUAGUGGGGGAUAACUAUCCGAAAGGAUAGCUAAUACCGCAUACGCCCUGAGGGGGAAAGGGGGGGAUCGCAAGACCUCCCGCUACAGGAGCGGCCGAUGUCCGAUUAGCUAGUUGGUGAGGUAAAGGCUCACCAAGGCGACGAUCGGUAGCUGGUCUGAGAGGAUGAUCAGCCACACUGGGACUGAGACACGGCCCAGACUCCUACGGGAGGCAGCAGUGGGGAAUUUUGGACAAUGGGGGCAACCCUGAUCCAGCCAUUCCGCGUGAGUGAAGAAGGCCUUC
rnacentral:rRNA from 1 species